rnacentral:SRP_RNA from 1 species
UACUAACCGGGGAGGUAGCGGCGCCCUGUACCUGAAAUCCGCUGUAGCAGGGGUUAAUUCCUCAUUUGAGGGUAAUAUUUUUACGACAGAGCCGUUUGUCAGAGCGUUGACGGGUGGGUCCCGCGCAAUCGGGCACCGUGAACCAUGUCAGGCGGGGGACCGAGCAGCAUUAAGCGGAUCUCCCGGUGUGCCGCGGGGAUGCCUGCCCCGAGCCGAGAGAACGGUA